rnacentral:rRNA from 1 species
CCCAAGAUUAGUUCUCCCUAGACUCUCGAAGUCUCUGAAGGGCCGUCGAAGACUACGACGUUGAUAGGCUGGGUGUGUACGUGCAGCAAUGCAUUUAGCUAACCAGUACUAAUUGCCCGUGCGGCUUGACCAU